AGGCCUAACACAUGCAAGUCGAGCGGAUGAAGAGAGCUUGCUCUCUGAUUCAGCGGCGGACGGGUGAGUAAUGCCUAGGAAUCUGCCUGGUAGUGGGGGACAACGUCUCGAAAGGGACGCUAAUACCGCAUACGUCCUACGGGAGAAAGCAGGGGACCUUCGGGCCUUGCGCUAUCAGAUGAGCCUAGGUCGGAUUAGCUAGUUGGUGAGGUAAUGGCUCACCAAGGCGACGAUCCGUAACUGGUCUGAGAGGAUGAUCAGUCACACUGGAACUGAGACACGGUCCAGACUCCUACGGGAGGCAGCAGUGGGGAAUAUUGGACAAUGGGCGAAAGCCUGAUCCAGCCAUGCCGCGUGUGUGAAGAAGGUCUUCGGAUUGUAAAGCACUUUAAGUUGGGAGGAAGGGUUGUAGAUUAAUACUCUGCAAUUUUGACGUUACCGACAGAAUAAGCACCGGCUAACUCUGUGCCAGCAGCCGCGGUAAUACAGAGGGUGCAAGCGUUAAUCGGAAUUACUGGGCGUAAAGCGCGCGUAGGUGGUUUGUUAAGUUGGAUGUGAAAGCCCCGGGCUCAACCUGGGAACUGCAUUCAAAACUGACAAGCUAGAGUAUGGUAGAGGGUGGUGGAAUUUCCUGUGUAGCGGUGAAAUGCGUAGAUAUAGGAAGGAACACCAGUGGCGAAGGCGACCACCUGGACUGAUACUGACACUGAGGUG
rnacentral:rRNA from 1 species